rnacentral:tRNA from 1 species
GAGGGUAUAGCUCAGUGGUAGAGUGUCUGCUUAGCAUGCACAAGGUCCUGGAUUCCUUCCCCAGUACCUCCA